rnacentral:rRNA from 1 species
GAUGAACGCUGGCGGCGUGCCUAAUACAUGCAAGUAGAACGCAGUUGCGAACGGGCGAGUAACGCGUAGGUAACUGCCUGGUAGCGGGGGAGAACUAUUGGAAACGAUAGCUAAUACCGCAUACUACCAGAUGGACCUGCGUUGUAUUAGGUAGUUGGUGGGGUAACGGCUCACCAAGGCAACGAUACAUAGCCGACCUGAAAGGGGGAUCGGCCACACUGGGACUGAGACACGGCCCAGACUCCUACGGGAGGCAGCAGUAGGGAAUCUGCGGCAAUGGACGGAAGUCUGACCGAGCCAAGGCGCGUGAGUGAAGAAGGUUUUCGGAUCGUAAAGCUCUGUUGUAAGAGAAGCGGUAUCUUACCAGAAAGGGACGGCUAACUACGUGCCAGCCGCCGCGGUAAUUC